rnacentral:misc_RNA from 1 species
UAUAAUUGGUUGCUAAAAUCGAUUAUUAAUAGCAACCAAGUUAUAAUUGAUUGCUAAAUCGGUUGCUACUCGAUAUUAGAAAAACUUUAAAUAUAUCAUUAGUAACCAAUUUUAAAAUAAGUUAUUAUUAGCAAUUGAUUAAGAAAUUGAUUACUAAAAUCUGUUGCUAAUAGCAAACGAUUUUAAAAUUGAUUGCUAAUA